UACUCUUGACAUCCAGAGAAGCCAGCGGAGACGCAGGUGUGCCUUCGGGAGCUCUGAGACAGGUGCUGCAUGGCUGUCGUCAGCUCGUGUUGUGAAAUGUUGGGUUAAGUCCCGCAACGAGCGCAACCCUUAUCCUUGUUUGCCAGCGAGUAAUGUCGGGAACUCCAGGGAGACUGCCGGUGAUAAACCGGAGGAAGGUGGGGACGACGUCAAGUCAUCAUGGCCCUUACGAGUAGGGCUACACACGUGCUACAAUGGCGCAUACAGAGGGCAGCAAGCUAGCGAUAGUGAGCGAAUCCCAAAAAGUGCGUCGUAGUCCGGAUUGGAGUCUGCAACUCGACUCCAUGAAGUCGGAAUCGCUAGUAAUCG
rnacentral:rRNA from 1 species